rnacentral:rRNA from 1 species
UACAGAGGGGGCAAGCGUUGUUCGGAAUUACUGGGCGUAAAGGGCGCGUAGGCGGCCUUCUAAGUCGAACGUGAAAUCCCCGGGCUCAACCCGGGAACUGCGUCCGAUACUGGAAGGCUUGAGUUCGGGAGAGGGAUGCGGAAUUCCAGGUGUAGCGGUGAAAUGCGUAGAUAUCGUAAGGAAGACCAGUGGCGAAGGCGGGUCUCUGGACAGUUCCUGACGCUGAGGCACGAAGGCCAGGGGAGCAAACGGG